ACACGAUGGUUAUCGUGAUGAGUGUCCACACAGAUUGAUUCGGUUUAGAUUAGAGAAGAGUAUCUUAGUGUCCCGUUCGUCUAGAGGCCUAGGACACCGCCCUUUCACGGCGGUAACAGGGGUUCGACUCCCCUACGGGAUACCAUCUUUAAGCGUUUUCGCUGAGAAUGUUUAAAAAUGGUUUUCAUCAGAAAAUCUUGCUCUUUAACAAUUUGGAAAGCUGACAAAACAACAAUUUAUUGUUGUUUGUAAAGUUCUCAAUGUUUAUCGAAAGAUAAACACCAACAACACAUUCAAGUGUGCUUGGUAUCGAAUAAGACUUCGGUCUUGUUCAAAUUUGAGUCCGGCAAAAUCUGUCUCGCACUCAUGUAAAUUAAACGCGAGACAACUUAGGUUGUUUAAACAGCAACCCGAAACUCCUUCGGGUUGUAU
rnacentral:tRNA from 3 species